AGCCUCUUCACGCCUUCGGGCUGCUGUAGGAAGACGGCGGGGCGGAGGAAGGGAGCCGGGCUGUCCGUCGUGAUGCUCCCGAGGAGAGCUGCGGCGGCGGUCCGUGCCUGCCCGGCGGGUCGAGGCACCGCGCUGGGCUGCCGGCUGCGCGCCUGGAGCCGGGCAGCGCGAUGGAGCCCCGUGCGCGGGGAGCCGCCCUGGCGUGGCACGGAGCUGCCGGAGGAGGAGAGCUCGGUGUGAGGGUGGCUGACUGUGUGAGCCAAGUAGUUGAGGAAGAGGAAGGAAUCCACUUGGAUGACUUUUCCUGGAGGGAGAAGGACUUCUCUGAUCUAAUUGGGAAAAAGUUACUUGCAAUCAUGGACAACUGCAAGAAGCACAUCUAAGCUGGAAGAUAGGAGAGGAGCCAGCAUCUUGCCUGGAUAUUAAUGGCAGUGUCUUGUCUGACAGAGAACAGACCACCAAAGCAUGAUGAGCAAGAAAGCAAUUUCUCAUUCCUCCAUACCAGAAGACAACACCAGACAUCACCUCCUCCAAAAUCCAGCAAACACUAAAAUAUACAAGCCAUCACAGAACUGAACAGUGAAUUACUU
rnacentral:lncRNA from 1 species